ACAGAGGAUGCAAGCGUUAUCCGGAAUGAUUGGGCGUAAAGAGUCCGUAGGUGGUAAUUCAAGUCUGUGGUUAAAGCGUGGAGCUCAACUCCAUAUCGGCCAUGGAAACUGAAUAACUAGAGUGAGGUAGGGGUAGAGGGAAUUCUCGGUGUAGCGGUGAAAUGCGUAGAUAUCGGGAAGAACACCGGUGGCGAAAGCGCUCUACUGGACCUUAACUGACACUGAGGGACGAAAGCUAGGGGAGCGAAAGGGAUUAGAUACCCCUGUAGUCCUAGCCGUAAACGAUGGAUACUAGGUGUUGCGCGUAUCGACCCGUGCAGUGCCGUAGCUAACGCGUUAAGUAUCCCGCCUGGGGAGUACGCACGCAAGUGUG
rnacentral:rRNA from 1 species